rnacentral:rRNA from 1 species
GUAUGUGAAAACAAUGCUAAUGUACUAGAUCCCAUUAAAAAUCUGUAGUUAAGUCUGUUUGGGCUAGAGUAGUAUUGGGAUGGGUGGCCUCUUGGGAAUUCCUAGUGUUUUACAUGCC